rnacentral:rRNA from 1 species
CCUACGGGCGGCAGCAGUGGGGAAUAUUGCACAAUGGGGGAAACCCUGAUGCAGCGACGCCGCGUGAGUGAAGAAGGAUUUCGGAAUGUAAAGCUCUAUCAGCAGGGAAGAAAAUGACGGUACCUGACGAAGAAGCCCCGGCUAACUACGUGCCAGCAUCCGCGGUAAUACGGAGGGGGCAAGCGUUAUCCGGAUGUACUGGGUGUAAAGGGAGCGUAGACGGCAGCGCAAGUCAGGAGUGAAAUGCCGGGGCUUAACCCCGGAACUGCUUUGGAAACUGUGAAGCUAGAGUGCAGGAGAGGUAAGUGGAAUUCCUGGUGUAGCGGUGAAAUGCGUAGAUAUUAGGAGGAACACUCGUGGCGAAGGCGGCUUACUGGACUGUAACUGACGUUGAGGCUCGAAAGCGUGGGGAGCAAACAGGAUUAGAUACCCGAGUAGUC